UUUGCUGUAUUAAUUAUUUGCUUAACUCCUUAUUUGUUUUUAUGAUUUUACACUUGGUUAUCUAGUAAUUUGUUUUUUUUUAUUACUCAUUCAUUCGUUUAAUUAACUUCCCAUUUUUCCAAUUACUCACUCGCUCGUUUUUUUAUUUGUUCAUUUUUUAUGUUUUCACUAAAACUAUUUGUAUAUAAAAAUUUUGUAAACAUGUUGUAUAUAUAUACACACUUACCUUAUUUGAGUAUACUUAUUAAGAAUCUAUAAUUACAUUAUGAAAUGCUUAAGAUUAUAAAUAUAAGUAUGUGUUAAACACAAUAUUAUUUUGUUUUUGUUACCUCGAUAUAUAUAAUAUAUAUAUAUAUAUAUAUAUAUAUUUUUAAUUUUAUAAAUCGUACUAAUAGCAUCAUAAAACAGAUAAAAAUUACAUAUAAUAAACAAAUUUGAGCUUUAAACAAACUAAAAUAUAAUAGAAAUUACAGACAUCCAAUAUAUAAAUAACAACAAAGUAUAAGUAACAUGGAAAAUGAAAAAAAUCAGUCUAAAAGCAUAUAAUUUGAAGCACGGAAGUGAAUUACUAGAAGGAGAGCGUUUACAUAUUUCAAAAAAUAUUAAAAAUAAAAUAAUAAUUAAAACUUUUUUCAUACAAAUAAAUUUACAUAAUUUUUUAAAAAAAUAUUAUAAAAAAAAAAAUGAAUACAACAAAAAGACAAGAACAAGCGAUUACAUAAUAAAACUACAAAACAAAAUAUAUAAAUUAAAAAAAAUAAAUACUUUGUGUAACAAAAAAAAUAAAGUACUAAAAAAUUAUAAAAGCUAUUAUAUAAACAAGUAUAAUACAUCUUCUUUUAUAUAUGAAAAUGAUAUCAUUAAUUAUGAUGUAUUCAAUACUGGUGCGUAUGUAAAUAAAAGUAAAAAAUGCUUUAAUAAAAAACAAUAUUUUUAUAUUCAUUUUACAAACAAAAAUGAGCAUAUUACAUAUAAUAAAAUUAAAACAAAUAUUGAUAAUAAAACUAAUUACAUAUCAACAAAAAAUAUAUAUAUUUACAACCAUGAAGAAAAAAACAAGGAUGUGAAUGGUUAUUAUUUGAACAAAGAUGAAAAGUUAAAUAUGUAUAAUGUAUUAAAUACGAACAAGCCCGUUAAUAUAUGUAUUUUUAUUAACAAUCAUUUUUUAUUUACAAGCGUUAUCAUAAAUGAGUUAUUAUUUGUUUAUAAUUUUUUAAACAAUGCAAUAUAUACUAACAAUAAUAGUAAUAAUAUACUAAAAAUUGUUAAUGAUAAUGUAAAUAAGAAUAUGCUACUUGGUUAUAUACGUUUCAUAAGUAACAACAUUGUUAAUAAAAUUAAAUAUACACGAAAAAGUUAUGUGAAUUGUAAAAAAAAUAAUUAUUUUUUUAUAUAUAUAUUUAUAAAAAAUGAUGAAAAAGCAAAUGAACACAAACAUAAAAAGUGUCAGAUAUAUAAUGUAAGUAGAAAUAUAUGUAACGCGAUUAAUUAUACUACUAACUCAUUUCGAAUUAAUAAAAGGGUAUUUUUAAAUAUUUUUAACAUAAAAAAUAACAGAAUUUACAUAAAAAAAGAAAAAAGAAAAAAUAAUUUAAUGAAUAAAAAAAAAAACAUAUCGAAUAAAUUUUUUUUUAAUAAAUUGAUUACUAAAAAAAACAGAAAUGAACAUUUUUAUUAUUUUAAAAGCUAUAGGAACAAUAAUAUAUAUUAUAAAAAUAUACAGAGAAUAGAAAAUUAUAACAACCUUAGUAAAAAUAUAUAUAAUGGUACAUCUUUAUAUACUGUUAUUUACGAGAAUUAUAACGAUAAUAAAAAAGAUACAAAGGGUUCUUUAUUCAAUUUAUGCUUUUACAUUAUAAAUGAAAGUAAUGAUAAUAAAGUAGCUAUACCAAAUGGUGCAUUUUUUAAUUUAAUCAAUUUUAGCAUUAUUUGCAAAUAUAUUAGAAAUAUUAUUUUAAUUUCGCUAACUGAAAACUCACAACUAAAAAGGAAAUGUUUUUUUAGCAGCACUAAUAAUAAAAACAUGAAUAGCAAUAGUAGCAAUAAUUAUAACAUAAAUAAUAACAAUUCACUAAAUGGUACGAAUAAUAAUAAUUGUAAUAAUAAUAAUGAUGAGAUUAAUAAUAGUAGUAAUAAUAAUAACAAUAAUAGUAGUAACUAUAACAACUCUAGUAAUCAAAACGACCAUUUUGGGGACGAUAAAAACGAAAGCAGUGACAGUGAUGACAGAAGUAUGAGUAGCGAUGAUAACGAUACUAGUAGUGAUGGCACUGAUACAAGUAGUGAUGGCACUGAUACAAGUAGUGAUGAUAAUGAUACUAGUAGUGACAUCACACAGAAAAAUUAUAAUACCAGUAAAAGUAAUCAUAAGUUUUUAUAUAAUAGAAAAAACAAAAAGAUUAAUAAACAGUUAAAUGAUCAAAAAAAAAAAUAUAACAAUAAAAGUUUUGGUUCCUAUAAUAUUAAUAAUCUAUCCUUAUCAGUUAAUAAUAUGUCGAAAAAAAUAAGAGCGUAUUAUUCGGAUAAUGAAUAUAGUCAACUCCAUGAUUCUUUAAAAGAUGUAAUAUAUGAAGCAAAAGAAAAAAAUAUAAUUGUAAAUGAUGAUGCUAAUGACAACAGCAUUAAUGACAACAGCAUUAAUGACAACCACAUUAACAAUAACCAAAACGAUAACAAAAACGAUGACAAAAACGAUGACAAAAACGAUGACAAAAACGAUGACAAAAACAAUGACAACAGCAAUAACCAAAACAGUGACAAUGACAAUAACCAACGCAAUGAUAAUAAUUACAACAGUAUUGCAUUAAAUGAAAAAAAAUCAACCAUACUAAAUAAAUUAAAAUCAUAUAGUAGUGAACAGGUUAAAAAAAUAAACCAAAUAAGUAGAGGACAUUUUACUCAUGUGUUUAAUAAAACAAACCACAGUGAAUGUAUCGAAGAUACUAAUCCUAUAUAUAACAAAGAUAAAAUAUACAGAAACUGUACAAAAAGCAAAUCAAGCUAUGAUCUACCCUACAAUUAUUGGAAUGUCAAUUCUGAAUAUAUUUAUAAUAAUAGGAAAAGUAAAACAUAUGAAUUUCAUUCAGUAAUAGAUAAAUGGAGCAUCAAAAGAAAAAAAGAGUUUAACCUUUUGCAGCAAAAUAUACAAGAAAAUAAUUUCUUUUUAAAUAAUAUAUUAUAUAAUCAUACUUUAAUUAACAAUAACGAAUUAAUGAAUGAAGAUAAAAGAACAAAUAUCAACAUUAAUGGCAAUAUUAACAAUGUUGCAAAUAUGGAUAGUAUUAACAUUAACAACAAUAUGAACAAUGCUAAUGUUAACAAUUAUAUUAAUUUUGUUGAAAAUAAUGUAUACACUCAGAAUGAUCAAAAUGGAGAAUUUCAAAGAGAAAUUGAAAAUAAUAAUUCACAAAAUAAUAAUGUUUUUUUAGAUCUAAGUGAAAUGAAUGAUUAUAAAUAUAACAUUUUGAAGACUGCCGAUUAUAAUAAUAAUACGGAAUUAAUAAAAAAUAAUACAGAAGCUAACUGGGAUGAAAGUGGUAUGAGUUAUUAUAGGGAUUACUAUUCUAUACAAAGUUUGAAUGAGGAUAUAUUAAAAAACGAAACCUUUCCAUUUAUAUUUUACGAUAAUAAUAUUCGUAAUUUAGUUAUAUAUUAUAAAGAUGUUAACGAUGUUAAUUUAAUUAAAUCUAAAAAAUUUUCAGCACAAAGAUUUGGAUAUGCAGUAGCGAAAAAAAUUGCAUUAAAUUUUUUACGUUCUAUGGGAUGUAAUGUUGAUUAUUUAGAGCAUAACAAUGUUUUUUCUUAUGAAAAAUAUAUUAAUAGUAAAAUUUGUUAUAUUUCUAAUAAAAAUCAAAAAUCUAUAAAUACAG
rnacentral:lncRNA from 1 species